ACCCUCGCACCUCACACCACCCCUCCAUCCACCUUUUUGCCAGCGUGAGAGCUUCUUCUUUCUUGCGAGGGAGAGAGGGUAGCGAGCAACCAGGGAGCUAGGCGUCAAUGGCGACCAUAGCCACGAUGACCAUGCUCAAGCCCGCCAAGAUCACGGCCAGGUCGGCGCCUUCGUCGUCACCGUCGUCCAGCACCAAGGUGGCGUCCCCGAGCAUCUCGCUGCGCAGCCUGCAGAAGAACGCGGCCAAGAAGGGGGCCCUGGCCGUGUCGCCGGCGGCCGCGGCCAUGGCGAGCGCCUUCUUCACCUCGCUGGCCUCGUCGGACGCGGCGAUGGCGUCGCAGCGGAUCGCGGACGUGGCGGCGGCGGCGCCCGCGGACGACAACCGGGGCCUGCUGCUGCUCUUCGUGGUGGCGCCCGCGCUCGGGUGGGUGCUCUACAACAUCCUCCAGCCGGCGCUGAACCAGCUCAACAAGAUGCGGUCCGAGAAGGCGCUCGUCGCCGGGCUCGGCAUCGGCGCCGCCGCGGCCGCGGGCCUGGCCGCCGUGCCGGAGCCGGCCUCCGCCGCCGUGCAGGAGCUCGCCGCACUGGCGGCGGUAGUGCCCGCCGACGACAACCGGGGCCUGCUGCUGCUCUUCGUGGUGGCGCCCGCGCUCGGGUGGGUGCUGUACAACAUCCUGCAGCCGGCGCUGAACCAGCUCAACAAAAUGCGGUCCAACUGAGCGUCGUCGUCGUCGUCGUCGUGGCAUCGCAUGCGGUCCGGCCGAGUGGGUUCGUAUGUUUGCGUUGGUCUAUUAAGAGUCGUGGUAGUAGCGUGGAACGUGGUGUGAGUGCCCGCUUGCAUACUCUCUAAUCUUGUUCCUUCCAUUGAUCAAAUGCAGUACAGCUCUUCUUGUUCUCUCUUCUGCUACGUUCAGUGCAAUGUUCUCUUCUGCUACGUUCCAAUGCUGGAUUGGGGUUUUAGGGCAACUCUAACCGACCCCUAAAAAAUAAGGAGGAUCUGGCAGAGUAAAACCUUAGCAGAGUAUUUUUACUCCACUUAAGAUUUGGCCGGAUCUAGCAGAUCAUCAAUAUAUAACGGAGUAAAGUUAUUUUUUUUUGUUUAUGCACUUCGUCGAACAUCGUCAUGCGUGUCUAUGACGCUGGUGACCCAUAGAAGCCCUAGGCCAUCUCCCUCGGUCAUCGCCCAUGCACAUCUUUCUGGCCGCGUUCCUGCCGGCCGCCGUUGUAGUUCUAUACCUCAAGAUGCGGCCGCGCUUCGUGUACCUUGUCGACUACGCCUGCUUCCGCACCAAGCCCAGCCACCGCGUCCCCUUCGGCACAUUCCUCAAGCACGCCAAGCUUGUCACCUUCAUUGAGGGGGCCUCGAUUGACAAGCGCAUCAUCCGUUUCAUGACGCGGCUGCUGGAGCGAUCCGGGCUUGGGAAGGAGACGUGCCUGUCCCCGGCGCACCACUUCAUCCUGCCAUACCAAAACUUGGAGGCCUCGCACGAGGACGUGGAGCUCGUCAUCUUCUCUGCCAUUGACGACCUACUUGCCCAGACGAGCAUCAGCCCCGACGCCAUUGACUUCCUCGUCGUCAACUGCAGCCUCUUCGUGCCCAUCCCAUUCUUCACCGACUGAUCAUCCACAAGUACAGGAUGCGCAGCGACAUCUAUAAG
rnacentral:rRNA from 1 species